AAAAUCUGCAGAAAGAAUCUGUCAGAGCGAAAUCAAAACAAACAAAAAUACUUCGCAAAUCAGUUCAUUUUGGUUUCGCAAAUUAGUUUGCAAAUAACAAAACGUUUCAAAUCUAACUUCUUUAAAUAAUAGUGCUAGUAAUAGUUCGGAGCAGCAAGUGUUUCUAUCGCUCCUAUGUUAAUACCAGCCGUGAUCAACACACCUUGGGAAAGAAGUGACAAGCAAACAUCCCAGGCUGGCGAAUAGUGUUAAAGUCAACUGAAAUAUGUGCGCGAUAGUGACGUUGAUUGUACCAACUUUAUCAGAAUAAAUUGAUUUCCGAACAGACGGCGAUGUGACAGUUUUGGACUGAAUGACGGAGCAGGCAAAAUACAACCAACAAAGUGUAUUCCGCGGGACCCUGUAUAAACCAAGGCAGGCGAUACCAGUUCCAUGGGAAGAAUAAUAAAUGAAUGUUGACGUAAGGAUGUCGUCAAACAAUGUGGAUUGCAAUUGCAAAAAGAAGCGGGACCACAUUAUGAGAUGGUGGCGAGCCACAGUAAGACUCCGGGAUCAGUGCGACUCUUCUAGUAUUGUGGGCAACGCUAUUGCGACGGACCGUAUUGCAGUGGAGUGAAAAUCGGCUGCAGUAUCUGACCAAAAUGUUUAAUAAACUUUUAUUCCAGAACAAAAUGAUUCGUCCCUAUUUAGCUGAUAAAUUAAAUUAAUAAAGAAUCGUACCCCAAAGACAACAUAUGAUGGAUUCAAGAUAAGCAUAAUUGAAUGUGUGGAUCCACAAUUAUUCAAGAUUAAUCUACCCCUAUGAAGUAAUAAAUUUAAGUUGGAAAUAAAGAAUAAAGAACAUUAUGAAAUUAUAACAA